UUGGCCAGCAAUGGUCGUACGUAUUUUUACGUUCCUGUGAACAAAUCAGGACGCUUAGAGUAUGGCCACAUGAAUGACUCAGCGCAGUAUGAAGUCUUUGUUUUCUUCCGAAAACAAGCUCAAUGAGAGCCAUCGGGGGUAGAUCUAUCUCAUGACGAGUGGUGGAAUACUUUGACUCAUGAGAGAGAAGCUGAGGCGAAGGCGUCUACCUAGAGGGUUUCUGUCGAUCAAGGGCGAGAGUAGGAGUAUCCAACAGGAUUAGAGACCCUGGUAGUUCCUACCUUAAACGAUGCCGACAGGAGUUUGUCAUUUGUUAAUGGCAGAAUCUUUGGAGAAAUCAUAGUUCUUGGGCUCUGGGGGAACUACGACCGCAAGGCUGAAACUUGAAGGAAUUGACGGAAGGGCACACCAGGGGUGGAGCCUGUGGCUUAAUUUGAAUCAACACGGGGAAACUUACCAGGACCAGAUGUUUUUUAUGACUGACAGGCUUCGGGUCUUUCAGGAUAUUGUUUUUGGUGGUGCAUGGCCGUUGGUGGUGCGUGGGUUGACCUGUCUAGCGUUGAUUCAGCUAACGAGCGAGAUUAUCGCCAAUUAUUUACUUUGCCGAAGUCCUUCGGUUAAAGUUCUAAUUGGGACUCCCUGCGAUUUUAGCAGGUGGAAGAGGGUAGCAAUAACAGGUCCGUGAUGCCCUUUAGAUGCUCUGGGCUGCACGCGUGCUACAAUGUUAGGAUCAAUAGGACUGCGAGCCUGAGAGGGUGCGCUACUCUUAUAAUCCCUAACGUAGUUGGGAUUGACGUUUGUAAUCAGCGUCAUGAACCAGGAAUCCCUUGUAAAUGUGUGUCAACAACGCACGUUGAAUACGUCCCUGCCCUUUGUACACACCGCCCGUCGCUCCUACCGAUUGGAUGACUCGGUGAAAUCACCGGAUGCUUACGAGCAGAAAGUGAUUAA
rnacentral:ncRNA from 2 species